GAAUUUUUUGGUUAAGUAUUGUUAAAUGACCAAAAUACCCUUAUAAUUAACAAAUAAAAAAAAUUCUCUGUACCUGCACAAAAGUUGGCCACCCCUCAAAUCUUUUCCCCGUUCACUAUCGGAACCACACUCACAAACAAACCCUUGCAUAGGCACUCGCAGCUCUUGCCCCUAUCGAUCCAGCCAGAACUAUAAACUUCCAAUUGAUUCGGUAUGUGAACUGCUUGAAUCACCGAGCGAAAGCUAUUAAGAUAUGCGAAUCGAAACAUUACCAAUUGAUUCAGUUUGUUAUUCAUAUUAUGCUCUAAUCUUGUAUUUGGAUCAAAUUUUCCGUGUUUCCAUGACCAUGGUUUGCAAUAUGGUAAUAAAGAUGCUUGUGGUGAUUGAUGACUAGGGUUGUUCACGAGUCGAGCCGAACCGAGCGGACUUUUGUUCGUGCUUGGCUCGUUUACGAACCGAACCGAGCGGAGCGGCUCAUUUAAAACCGAGUCUCAAAUCAAGCGAGCAGUUUCCGAGCAAUAAAUAUUCCGAGCGAGCGUCGAGCGAAGUUCGAGCGAUAUGGACAACCGUGUCGACGGAUUUAAAUUUGUUGAGAGAGAUAGUGACAAUGUUGGGUCUCAAGUUUUUACGUCUUUAGAAAUAGGCAUAUUUCAUGGCAUAUAUUUUUCUUAUGAAUUACAAUGUUAUGGCCGAUGAGGCGAUAAUCAUAUUGCACGAACAAUGACGUUGAGAGCCGACUGUCGUUUAUCGGUUUAGGGUUUAACUUUUAGAUUUGAUAUUAAUUGUUUUA